rnacentral:lncRNA from 1 species
UUGGAGCUCAACCCUGUGUUUUCAGGGCGCACCUUUUCUGUCACAGAUGGUGCAGGCUGGGCAUCAGUUUCUCUCAUGUAGGUAAGUACUGCAGGGCCUUUGCUACAUUUCCAUCACUUGAUGUUCUCUCGCAUCAUCCUUUUUUGUAUGCUACACAAAAUUGGAUACCAUUGCUUAUGCAACAACCCAGUUAGUGAAUGUGCAGGUGCGGUCAACUAAACCUAGCCAUUUGGAUUGACAAGAGCUCAGUUCAGGUGAUGUAUAGAAGUAAGUCAUAUUUCUAUCAUAUUUUGUUUUUAAUAAUGACUUGGUGAUGUAGGCCUUGAUUCUGUCUGUUUGCUUAUUAUUUGCUUUGCUUGUUAUCAUUUUUUAUCUAGGAACUAUUACAAUAAGAGGACAAAGCAAUCAAGUUGGGAGAAACCUGCUUUUUGUGUUGAUGACACCUUUCGAGGUUAGUAAGCAACCUUCUCUAUGCUCUGUUUUAUUUUCUCUAGGUACCUUAUUUCGUACCAUCGACAUUUCUGAAUUCUCUCCUCUGCUAUGCAGGUAGAUGUGCGUGAGGGAACGUCCAUUGGUCUGUACGAGAAGAGUGGGAUGUCAGCCGUUGUGCUGAGGAGGGAGUGGUCGACCUGUUCGUGCUGGCACCAGAGACUUAGCCAUCCUGCAUCACGCUCGACCAUGUUGUCCUGGUCGUGUCUGUCGUCCUCUUCCGCCCCCUGGUAAGCUCGUUGCUCUCCCUCCUUGUUGCAGCAAGAGGAGCGGAGUUGUAUCAUCUCAAUUACAAAAUUUGCAACUGGGAACGGUUUCUGGUUUGCCUUAGUUACUUACAGUUUUGCAAUCUAGUCACAUGGAUGGCACAA